UACGGGGGGGGCAAGCGUUGUUCGGAAUUACUGGGCGUAAAGGGCGCGUAGGCGGUUUGCUAAGUUGGAUGUGAAAACUCUGGGCUUAACCCAGAGCCUGCAUCCAAAACUGGCAAACUUGAGUACUGGAGGGGAAAGCGGAAUUCCUGGUGUAGCGGUGAAAUGCGUAGAGACCCGGAGGAACACCAGUGGCGAAGGCGGCUUCCUGGUCUGCGACUGACGCUGUGGCGCGAAAGCUAGGGGAGCGAACGGG
rnacentral:rRNA from 1 species